UCUGGGCUGUUCCGGGGAGUGCUACAAGACCCGGCACGGCUGACAUAACCCUCAGGGCUGAUGUGACCCUUCGCUAGAGCUAAGGCGACGCUAUUCUCUCCAACAGUGCACACCGUAGCCUGGUGCUCUAGCUGGCUCCAGAGCAGUCCUUGAUGGAUUCCCCCAAGCCUCACUCAGCCUUGUAUUUGGAAGAAUACACUUCACACUUAAGCAAUGGGAUUUCGUCAUCUGUUUCACAGAUUGAGGAUUACAUUCGUACCAUAUCUCUACACAUUGCUGGCAAACCUGUGAGCCAGGAGCACUAGACAGGUACAACCACAGGCAAUCAGGGCUGGAUCUUCCUUCUUUUGUGUGUGUCUGGUUUCUAUUAAAGUAGCAUCAAUACCUGUCUGGCUGUGGUUUAAGAAACCAGCUAAUAUCUCUGCUCUACCAACACAGAAGUCACCUAGUAGCUGAAGCUUGGCCCUUAAAUAACAUGAGGUCUAGUCAAAGCUUUUCAAUUUUGCCGACCAUAUGGACACCAUGGGACGUCGGGCCCUGGAAGCAUCGCUCAGGCUGGCAACAGGGGAUGGAGGAGCGGGGCUGAGCUCUGCCCUGCCCUGCCAGGCUCUCAGCUGGCCUGCCCUACUCCAGGAGCUAUCCAUGGGCCAACCGCAGGAGAGAAAGUGCCAAAUCUGAAGUGAAUUACUUACUGUCUCCCUGGAGUGCAAAACUCAUAACGCUUUAUAGGCAUUUGACAAAACCCCAAACGCAGAGCUGCUGAGGAACCAGCCAACAUGGAGGGAGGCCAAGAGUAAAAGAACCAGAGAGAAGAUGUGUGCAGAGACGAGCUCCUGCAGUAAAGCCAGCAGUCUGAACUUAGACGGAUGCCGCUGUUCUGAGUUGUGAUAUAUUGUGCAUAUUUAGCUCCUAAUAACUUUUACAUUAACAGCAACAGCUUUUCUGACUAAAGCUUUGCUUUUGGAUUAUCAUUGCUAUAUUAACUCACAAUAUUCACGCUUCCUGCAUCAGACAAUAGUUACAGCCCCUUACAUACAAGAUGUUGAAAUGACUGGUCUUACAUAGCUACCUCCCUUACAACUGAAGAAAUUGUGAACAAGCAAUUUUUUUGUCAUGAUAACAGCUUUAUAAUGAAGUGACAAUGUUGCAGGGUAGCAAUCACAUUUUGCGGAUGAACGUGUGGAUAUGUAGUCUAAGGACAAGAAAUGAGGUCCUUGCUUAUAAUAGGAAAUGGAGUUGUUUGAAAUUUCACUUUCUGUUGAGCCUAAUUUGAGAGUUUAUUAACUCAUUAGGUCCAAUCCUCUCUGUUAGUCAUCUGGACCCUUUUCAUUAUUUUCAAUGGCGUUUAGAUCAAGAAAAAAAACAACCAAGUUGUGUGCUGUAUUCACUGAGUAAGUAGGGAUCAGAUUUCAGCAGAACAAUUUUACCUCUGGUAUAUCUGGACUUACAUAAUAAACUCUAGGGACUAUAUUUUAAUCAUAUUACAAGUCAUAUGACAUAAUGCAUGUCAUGGUAUAUCAUGGCAGAAGACAGUGCUACCAUAUGAUAUGCCUUUCUCCUUAUCCUUGUUAAAUGAUUCAUUCUUUUCUAAAGCUCUGCUAAGGUUCAUAACGCAUAGCAGAUUCCAAAAAUCAUCUGUGUUUUGCCUGGAAAACUCCCUCCAUUUAACAAAGUACGUGCAGUGCCAUUCAAUUUAUUGUAACAGCUCUAGAUAUAGUAUCAUGACCAUACAGUAGAAGGCCUGACUUCUAUUUAUUCUCUUCCAUUUGCUGUUUUUAUUGUGUUCCCCUCCCUAGACUGGAGUCACCAUCCCUGUGGGUAUUUAAAAGGUGUAGUUGUGGCAGUUCAGGGCAUGGUUUAGGAGACAUGGUAGUGUUGGGCUGGUGCUUGGACUUGAUGAUCCUAGAGGUCUUUUCCAACCUUAAUGGUUCUAUGAUAAUACCAGUCUUCUCAAGCCAUCUUUCAUCAUCUGUCUCCAAACUUCCCAGCCUUUUUUCUUCUUUUUUUU